GUUUGCUAUCCGGAAAGUGAAAACGCAAUUUACAAACAAAAAUAUAAUACUCAUAUUUUACGCACAGACAUAUUACAGAAGCGUGCAGUUCCUUAGGAAGUUCUUUUUUAUAAGGGGGUGGCGAGGGCCGAAGGCCCGAGGAAAUUUUUAAAUUUAGAGUCUCUGAAAUGCCAUUUCGUGGACUUUGGGGGAAGUUUUGACAGAAUUCUGAUGGUCAGAAAACAGAGUUUUAGCACGUCGAAAUUUACAAUUAAUUUGCUUACAAUUUAGAAGAACUAAAUGAGCGAAGGCGUAUAUGGGUAAUAUGAUUCUUAAUUCUUUACGGUUUGUCAUGGAUAAUGUAGCCGCUUAAAAUUAAUCAAAUGUCAGUAUU